AUUGAACGCUGGCGGCAUGCUUUACACAUGCAAGUCGAACGGCAGCGCGGGCUUCGGCCUGGCGGCGAGUGGCGCACGGGUGAGUAAUGCAUCGGAACGUGCCCAGUAGUGGGGGAUAGCCCGGCGAAAGCCGGAUUAAUACCGCAUACGACCUGAGGGUGAAAGCGGGGGACCGAAAGGCCUCGCGCUAUUGGAGCGGCCGACGUCGGAUUAGCUAGUUGGUGGGGUAAAGGCUUACCAAGGCGGCGAUCCGUAGCUGGUCUGAGAGGACGACCAGCCACACUGGGACUGAGACACGGCCCAGACUCCUACGGGAGGCAGCAGUGGGGAAUUUUGGACAAUGGGGGCAACCCUGAUCCAGCCAUGCCGCGUGCGGGAAGAAGGCCUUCGGGUUGUAAACCGCUUUUGUUCGGGAAGAAAUCCUCUGGGCUAAUACCCCGGGGGGAUGACGGUACCGGAAGAAUAAGCACCGGCUAACUACGUG
rnacentral:rRNA from 1 species